rnacentral:lncRNA from 1 species
GGCAAAGGCUGGUAACCAGGCAGUCAAACCUUCUAAGUCACAGCAGAGGAGCAGUGAUCUCAAGAGAUGAUGGGUAACCGCUGGUCCAGCCAAGCAGAUGCCAGAUGAGCAGUGAUCUUAACAACAAGCCACGUCCACGGAAGCAUGAAAAUCGGUACCUCGGCACAGUCAGGCUCUCCACAUGACUGGCACGACGCUGCUUUGUUUGAAAAAAGCGUCUGUAUUCUGGGCAGCAGUUUUUGAGCAGAGGUCUUAAAGAGCGACCUUCUGGGAUGAUCCUGUCCAGACCGGAAUCAAGAGGGAGCUGGAUAGAAUAAAAGUACUUGGAGGCCUCUA